GGAAAAAGGCCAGGAAAUAAAUAACACGAUUGAGAAGAAAAAAAAAAAUUCAAAAUGGCCGGACCAAAUGUGGAGGCGGGCCGUAUUUGGGCCGCGGGCCGCAGUUUGGGCACCCGAAGAAAUGCCGCAUCCAAGCGAGUGAGCGUGCGAAGUGAGAGAGGGAAACACUUCUACGAGCCUACGUUCUUUGUUAAUGUUAAUAUCUACAGAGGCAACGCCUAGGUCACCAGCACAGGCCACCGGGUCACCAUAUGGGUCGCCUGCAGGCCUGCUCCGAAAAUAUCCAACCAGCGAGGGAACAUAUACCACAGAAGAGUACGAAGGAGAGACAAUCCUUGAUGUUUACAAAGCGUUGUCCCAUCUCUGAACAUCUUAAAUCGGUGAUAAGUUUCCCACCAGACACUGAAUAAAGCAGUGAUUAGGAAAAGAGCUGAGGAGGAACAGGGACCCUUUGAUGAACUGACUCUCUAAAACGACACUCUUAUAGCAGUAAAUCGAUGUCAGGUGACCACAGAUGGAAUCAUUUCAAAAGAAAUAUUAUCUUGCUUACUUGACUUGUGUUAUCAUCUCAUUCUAGAUGAUGCAGCAAGGAGAUUUGUAAGACCGUGGAUGCACUAUAAACAACAGCAUGCACAGCAGGUCCCAGCGUUAACAACACAUUAUUUUCAAUGCCAAGGCAACAUUUCCAGAACUCGUUAACUCCACAUCACAAUACAUUUAUCCGGGUAGUCACACUUUUUUCAAACAUGUGAGUGUGGUUCUUAGUAUAGGAGUCUACUAUUUUAUAUAUUAAUUUUACGUAUUUUCUAUUAGAUUUAUUCAAAACAGUUUGUUGUCGUAAACUGCAUACACAUACACAAUAGUUAUAUUCUUUUCCUAACGGUAUAUUUUACAGGGUUUACCCGGGACUGCUCGCAAGCCAAAUGCAGCAUAACACUUAUUGACACUUCAGCGCAAUGGUUUCAAAUUGGUGGUGCAGGGGCAAGAUUUGGUCCUCUGCAUCAUUUUAGGUAGAUAGUGAAAAUAAAUCAUGUGCAUUGACGUUUUUCACUAAAAAUUUAUGUAAAAUAUCCGUAGUCCAUA